rnacentral:lncRNA from 1 species
CUCCGUGACCGGAUAAAUGUCUCAUUUUCAGUUGACUCUUCAAAUCCGCUGCUAAUCAAUUUUUUUAUUUAAAUUUAAAUUAAAUAUAAUUAAAUUUUUUAUUUUAAUUAAAAUAAAAUCUUAAAGACUAUAAGGGCGUGUUUGGUUCGAAGUCGGAAUCGAAAUCGGAAUCGGAAUCGAAAUAAGCUGGAAUCGGAAUCGGAAUGACUGAUUACCUAAUUUUGUUUGGUUCAUCACCUGAAUCGGAAUCGGAAUAAAUCAUUCCUAUUGUAGGUGUUUGGUUCAGAUAUAUAUAAAAAACGUAAUCAAAUUAAUAUACUAACUUUAUCUUUAUAAUAUAUUAAUUUAAAUUCAAANAUUAAUAAUUAAAAUUUUAUAAAACUAAAAAUAAUCUUAAUAAGAUUAGAUAUAAUCCUAACGGAUUGAUCAGUAAAGAAUAGGAUUAGAAAAUCUUAGGGUGCGUUUGGUUCGAAGUCGGAAUUGAAAUCAGAAUGGAAUCGAAAUAAGCUGGAAUCGGAAUCGGAAUGGGACUCCUGCGUACCAAACACCCACAAGCGGAUUCGUCCAUUCCGAUUCCGACUCCAGGUGAAAAAGAAACGAACCAAACACGCCCUAAAAGUAUCUCAAAAGCAACUCCCUCUUAAAUUAUAUUUAUUUUCAUAAAAACUAAUAUUUAAAAUUGAAAUAAUGUAUCAAAAAAAUUUAAAAGUUAUUUUAUAAUUUACAUACUUAUUCACAU